UCUUCCCUCUGGCGGCGUGCCUAAUACAUGCAAGUCGAGCGAACAGACGAGGAGCUUGCUCCUCUGACGUUAGCGGCGGACGGGUGAGUAACACGUGGAUAACCUACCUAUAAGACUGGGAUAACUUCGGGAAACCGGAGCUAAUACCGGAUAAUAUAUUGAACCGCAUGGUUCAAUAGUGAAAGACGGUUUUGCUGUCACUUAUAGAUGGAUCCGCGCCGCAUUAGCUAGUUGGUAAGGUAACGGCUUACCAAGGCAACGAUGCGUAGCCGACCUGAGAGGGUGAUCGGCCACACUGGAACUGAGACACGGUCCAGACUCCUACGGGAGGCAGCAGUAGGGAAUCUUCCGCAAUGGGCGAAAGCUUGACGGAGCAGCGCCGCGUGAGUGAUGAAGGUCUUCGGAUCGUAAAACUCUGUUAUUAGGGAAGAACAAAUGUGUAAGUAACUAUGCACGUCUUGACGGUACCUAAUCAGAAAGCCACGGCUAACUACGUG
rnacentral:rRNA from 1 species